rnacentral:rRNA from 1 species
UGGGGAAUAUUGCACAAUGGGCGCAAGCCUGAUGCAGCCAUGCCGCGUGUAUGAAGAAGGCCUUCGGGUUGUAAAGUACUUUCAGUCGGGAGGAAGGUGGUAAGGUUAAUAACCUUAUCAAUUGACGUUACCGACAGAAGAAGCACCGGCUAACUCCGUGCCAGCAGCCUCGGUAAUACGGAGGGUGCAAGCGUUAAUCGGAAUUACUGGGCGUAAAGCGCACGCAGGCGGUUGAUUGAGUCAGAUGUGAAAUCCCCGGGCUUAACCCGGGAAAUGCGUCUGAUAGUGGUCAGCUAGAGUCUUGUAGAGGGGGGUAGAAUUCCAUGUGUAGCGGUGAAAUGCGUAGAGAUGUGGAGGAAUACCGGUGGCGAAGGCGGCCCCCUGGACAAAGACAGACGCUCAGGUGCGAAAGCGUGGGGAGCAAACAGG